AUCUUAUUCUUCUUCUUCAUUACAUAUACUACUACUGUUAGAAGGAAACCCCCCUCUCCGUGGAGAAGUCAUUAAUGGAGAAGAAGAUAUGGAGAAGAUGAUGGCUAUUUCUUUUUCUUUUUUUAAAUUUCUUUAAUGUGGUUUUUGUUUUAUUGGUUGAGGUUUUUUAUAUGUGAAUGAUUUUUAAAGAAACCAUUAAUGGAGAAGAAGAUGAUGGGUAUUUUUUUUUCUUAAUUUCUUUAAUGUAUUUUUUUAAUUGGUUGGAG
rnacentral:lncRNA from 1 species